GUCGGUCCCUGUCCCUGUGAGGCUCUCACCGGAAUCCCUGCUGUCCCCGAGCAGCUGAGGAGCGCUGGACACCCGGGUCGCAGGUGUGGCUGCGGCCCUGUCUCCUGGUGGUGUGAGCCCACUGCGGCUGUGGACUCGCGUGGAAACUGCGUUCCAGGGCCUGGUCCCGAGGGGGACGGGCGGCGGAGCCGAGCCAGGGGGAGGAUGCCGGGCUUCUGAGGGGUCUGAGUGCGUCCCGGAGCGAGUGAAGAGCACGACUCGGGGCAGCGCUCCGCACCCGGCCACCGUUCCGGGUUUGAGAGCCCUGCUCUGGGCGCUGAGGGUCUGCUGGGCCUCGCCGCGCCGAGUGGGAAUGCCGAGUGCACCCAGGCGGCCCCAGUCUGUUCCCCACUCCCUGAACCCUCGGGCGGACCGCAGGGCUGCAGCCGAAAGAUAGAUUUGGACCUAGUGGAAGGACGCCGCCCCUUAACCCCGACUAUGGACUCCACAACAUCAGCUCCCCCUUCUCAGGAUCCUGCUCUUCCUCCAGAGAGAUAUCCAGGAGAAAAGGGAACAACCAGUUUAUUCCCGAAAGCCAGGCCCCAGGUCUUGAUGACAUUUGAAGAUGUGGCUGUGGAAUUCACCCAGUGGGAGUGGGGGCAGCUGAACCUUGCUCAGAAGGACCUGUACAGGGAGGUGAUGCUGGAGAACUUUAGGAACCUGGCCUCCUUGGGGCUUUCAGUGUCCAAACCAAAUGUGAUCUGCCAGUUGGAGGAAGGGGAAGAGCCCCACGUGUUAGAAAGAGAAAUCUCAACAGGAGCCCACUCAGACUUGGAGAGAAGGCCUAAAGCCAAGGAAUCAACGCCAAGUCAGGGAAUUUCCAAGAAAGAAUUAUUCCAGGUAACACCUGUGGAAAAACACAUUCGAGAUAAGCUCUGGUUCUCCAAACUGAAAGCAACCUGUGGUUGUGAUGAUCAGUUAGAGACACAGCAGAUAAAACAGGAGAGACACCUGAAAGAAAUGACAGUCACUCACCAAUCUGUCACCCUUAGGAGAGAUCACGAAUGGAAUGAACUUGGGAGAAGUUUAGGCUUAACAUCGGUCCUUGUUGACCAACACAGUGUUCCCAUGGGAGAAGAGUCCUAUAAAUGGGAUACAGAAUUCAGACAGACUUUAGAGAGAAAUAACUCUCAUAGAAACCACCCGGGGAAGAAAUCUUGCAAAUGUAAUGAGUGUGGGAAGUCCUUCCAUUUCCAGUCAGAACUUAGACGCCAUCAGCGAUGUCACACUGGAGAAAAGCCAUAUCAAUGCAGUGAAUGUGGACGGGCUUUUGGUCAUAUUUCAUCCCUUAUUAAACAUCAGAGAACUCAUACUGGAGAAAAGCCCUACGAAUGCAGUGAAUGUGGGCGAGCCUUCAGCCAGAGUUCAUCUCUUGUGCUACAUUACAGAUUUCACACUGGAGAGAAACCCUACAAAUGUAAUGAAUGUGGACGGGCCUUUGGUCAUACUUCAUCCCUUAUUAAACAUCAGAGAACUCAUACUGGAGAAAAGCCCUACGAAUGCAGGGAAUGUGGGAGAACCUUCAGCCAGAGUUCAUCUCUCAUUGUACAUUAUAGAUUUCAUACUGGAGAGAAACCCUACAAAUGUAAUAAAUGUGGGAGAGCCUUCAGCCAGAGUUCAUCUCUCACUCAACAUUAUAGAUUUCACACUGGAGAGAAACCCUACAAAUGUAAUGAAUGUGGACGGGCCUUUGCUCACACUGCCACCCUUAUGAAGCAUCAGAAAAGUCACACUGGGAAAAAAUCCCUAUGAAUGCAGUGAGUGUAGAAGUGUUUUCAGCUGGAGUAUACACAUCACCAAGCCUCAGAGGAUUCUUAGCAGAGAGAGGUCCUAUUAGUGUAAUGUAUGUGGGGAGACCUCUGGUGGGGGACACAUCUUGUUUAACAUCAGACAGCACACACUAAAGAGAAGCCCUGCCAAUGUCAUGAGAGGGUGAGCAUUCAGUCACACCCCUCUCUUACCAAACACCGGAGAAUUUAUACUAGUGAGAAACCAUGUGAAUGUAAUGAACGUAGAAAGGCUUUAGUUAGAGGACACAUGCUACUUAACAUCAGACAGUUUAUAUGAGGAGAAGUCUUAUCAAUGCAAUGAGUGUGACACACCCUUCAGUCAUAUACUGUUCCUUAAACAAAAUAAAAUAAUAACUCAUACUGGAGAGAAAUUCUGCAACUGUGGUUAAGUAUGGAAAAAGCUUCAGUAAUACUUCUUCCCUUGCUAAGCAUCAAAAAUACGCACUAGAAAGUAGCCCUGUGAAAGAAGAUGUGGGGUGGCCUUCAGUCAGAGUUCACCCCUUAUUAAGCAUUAGAAAACUAAUACUUGAGAAAAACCUUAAAAAUGUGGUGAAUGCGGAGAGCCUUCAGUCAAACCUCAUCCUUUUGUAAACCUCAGAGAACUCUCCCUACCAGUUACAAACCCUGGGAACAUAACAUAUGUGGGAAAGCCUCUGGUGGGUGUUCCACCCUUUCACACAUAGAGAAUUUGUACUGGAAUGACUUCAAAUUUGGUCAAACUAGGAAAACCAACUAGUACAGUUCAGGCCUCAGCAUAGAUUAAGUCUUCACAUCAAAGAGAAACCCUGGAAGCUUAAUCAAUGUGAGGAAAGUUCCUUUUAGACUUGAGAUUCACAAAAUAGAGCUAAAAGGAAGCCAAGAAACCAGCUCAUCUGGUGAUUCUGUACCCUGUGGGGGCCAUUUGCACAGCUGCACUUUUGCUCUGCUCCCACCCUGUACUGAUGGGGUGGGCUGGCAGUGAGCAAGUGAGGAGGAGGGAGGCUGAGGAAGGUGAAGAGCCAGCAGUGAUCCAGCCCAACCAUAUUCUAGAACUAAGGAAACUGAUGUUCACAAAGUGCCAUGUCCUGGUCUACAGGCCUGCCUGGGCUGGGCCUCUUUCCUUUGGUUCACAGCUGUACUUUGGGGAUUGGGAGGCUGAAAGCCUUCCCCGCAUGGCACACCCAUGUGUUUGUUUCUCUGUAACACACAUUACCUUUCUCUGUGAGGCAAUGGACUGGUUUAUGUUUGAGCAAAAAGCAACUUUCAUUACAUCUUUAUGCUACUGGAUUUGGAAUUUUUUAAAUAAAAUGAAACCUUUUUUAAACAUUAAAA